rnacentral:rRNA from 1 species
UACAGAGACUGCAAGCGUUAUUCGGAUUCACUGGGCGUAAAGGGUGCGCAGGCGGCCAAGUGUGUGAGGCGUGAAAGCCCGAAGCUUAACUUCGGAAUUGCACCUCAAACUACAUGGCUAGAGCAUUGGAGAGGGUAGCGGAAUUCACGGUGUAGCAGUGAAAUGCGUAGAUAUCAGGAGGAACACCAGCGGCGAAGGCGCUGCUCUGGGCCGGUACUGACGCUGAGGCGCGAAAGCGUGGGGAGCGAACAGG